UACGUAGGGUGCAAGCGUUGUCCGGAAUUAUUGGGCGUAAAGAGCUCGUAGGCGGUCUGUCGCGUCUGCUGUGAAAAUCCAGGGCUCAACCCUGGACCUGCAGUGGGUACGGGCAGACUAGAGUGCGGUAGGGGAGAUCGGAAUUCCUGGUGUAGCGGUGAAAUGCGCAGAUAUCAGGAGGAACACCGGUGGCGAAGGCGGCCUUCUGGACAGUGACUGACGCUGAGACGCGAAAGCGUGGGGAGCAAACAGG
rnacentral:rRNA from 1 species